CAGUGAUCCUUCAAAACAUAUUAGUUGGGAUGGCAUUCAUUAUACUGAAGCUGCAAACUAUUGGGUGGUCAAUAGGAUUUUGGAUGGCUCUCUCUCAGAUCCCCCUCUUCCUAUUACCAAAGCUUGUCUAUAACCUCACAUAUCCUGUCCUGUAUCAAAGAAUAAACCUCAUUUAUGUAAUAAUAACAAAAUAAAUUCGAUUAUUUAUACUAUUCACAAACUAGUUAAAAAAAUUUCCAUUGAAUUCACAGACUACUCGAAUCAAACAUUGAAAUAUUCAAAUUGGAUUCGCUCCUUUAAGCUUAGCUCCACAAUGAAACUUGAGAAGAAAUUCAAGGGAACUGCUGUAUUUUAAUCAGUCCUGAUAUCGGUAGGCACUGGAGUAAUCUUCAAGUAGUAGCUAACAAUAAAAUAAUAAGCAACGUUUGAGUUUGAGGUUGUUAUGAAUUAGGUGAUGCACGCUUGUCGAUUCCAUUACCAUAAUAUUCAUACAAGGUCCACUUCAAAUUUCGGAUUUGCAAGAAAAAGGUUAAGUUCCACUCGCCAAGUACGGUCAACGCGUCAAAUAUCUGCUAGUCGUCAACCUGCUUGAUAAAAGAUCUGAAAGAAUCAGUAUGGAAG
rnacentral:lncRNA from 1 species